rnacentral:misc_RNA from 1 species
GAUGAAGAACGUAGCGAAAUGCGAUAAGUAAUGUGAAUUGCAGAAUUCAGUGAAUCAUCGAAUCUUUGAACGCACAUUGCGCCCGCCAGUAUUCUGGCGGGCAUGCCUGUUCGAGCGUCAUUACAACCCUCAGGCCCCCGGGCCUGGCGUUGGGGAUCGGCGGAGCCCCCCGUGGGCACACGCCGUCCCCCAAAUACAGUGGCGGUCCCGCCGCAGCUUCCAUCGCGUAGUAGCUAACACCUCGCGACUGGAGAGCGGCGCGGCCACGCCGUAAAACACCUAACUCUUCUGAAGUUGACCUCGAAUCAGGUAGGAAUACCCGCUGAACUUAAGCAUAUCAAUAAGCGGAGGA